rnacentral:rRNA from 1 species
UCCGUAGGUGGAUAAUUAAGUCAGAGGUGAAAGUUUGCAGCUCAACUGUAAAAUUGCCUUUGAUACUGGUUAUCUUGAGUUAUUAUGAAGUAGUUAGAAUAUGUAGUGUAGCGGUGAAAUGCAUAGAUAUUACAUAGAAUACCAAUUGCGAAGGCAGAUUACUAAUAAUAUAUUGACACUGAUGGACGAAAGCGUGGGGAGCGAACAGGAUUAGAUACCCUGGUAGUCC